UCGUCCCAUUCCGGUCUCCUCAGGAGGCGGAGACAGCUCGAAGUCUGCUGACCCCAGCUUUACCGAGCUACCGAGCACUGAUUAAUAUGCAGUUGACUGUUGAAGGCAGCAUCCUGACUGUCAGAUGGAUCGGUGAAGACGCACUUGUGUUACGAGUUGCCACCAACUGUUUCCUGGAACAUCUUUACCUGGUGAAACGCCAUCUUGACAGCAUUGCACCCCCAGAUCUGAGAAGCCCUGAGGGGCAAAGGGGGGCUGAGGCCUAAGCUUCCCUCCCAUUGUAUCCAGUGUUUCCUUCCCAGAGCACUGUUUGCUGGAAUCAUUUGCCACUAUGAGCCUGUUUGCCUGAAGUAGACCUUGAGCGCGGAGGACCCACUGCUUUGGUUUUCUUGUUUGGAGGGAAGAGGGCGAUUCAAUGGUUGUCACUGCAGAAAAUAAAACUGAGCUGCAAC